AUACGAAGGUGGCAAGCGUUGUUCGGAUUCACUGGGCGUACAGGGAGCGUAGGCGGUUAGGUAAGCCCUCCGUGAAAUCUCCGGGCCUAACCCGGAAAGUGCAGAGGGGACUGCUUGGCUAGAGGAUGGGAGAGGAGCGCGGAAUUCCCGGUGUAGCGGUGAAAUGCGUAGAGAUCGGGAGGAAGGCCGGUGGCGAAGGCGGCGCUCUGGAACAUUUCUGACGCUGAGGCUCGAAAGCGUGGGGAGCAAACAGGAUUAGAUACCCUGGUAGUCCACGCCUUAAACUAUGGAUACUAAGUGUCGGCGGGUUACCGCCGGUGCCGCAGCUAACGCAGUAAGUAUCCCGCCUGGGAAGUACGGCCGCAAGGUUGAA
rnacentral:rRNA from 1 species